UCUCUCCUAUUCCCCUGUAAACCCUAACAGAAAACUUCACCGCCGGUUUCAUCUGCUGCUUCAUUCUUCUUCUUCACGAUUACAAGAUCCCCUUUCUAAUGUUCAUCCUUCUCAUCUCAAUUAUUGGUAUCAUCACCUACCGACAUCUUCACUUUUCUUUCUCAUUCUCCCUCUCAAAAUUCUUCUGCAUAUGCUUGAUUUUAACAAUUAAUCAAACAAGAUCAAAGAAUAAUCAUCCCUGACUCGGUUUUUGGCGUUGGACGUUGGCGAUGGUGGAAAUCCUUUGUUUCAGUAUUUCGUGAUGAUGGGGAGGACAGAUUCGCCGCUGCCACCAUUUUGUUGUUCCGUGUUCGUCUUCGAAUCCUUUAGGGUUUCUGGACGACAGUUAAUGAUGGCGGCUCUGGUUUCAAUUGCUUUCAUGUUGCAAGCUUUCAUGGCCUUUGGGAUCACAUCUGUUGUAGAUUUCAACAGGUAUACAUAAAACCCUAAUUAUAUUGAUCCAGCCGCUCUAUGUUAUUCGAUGAAUAGCCUCCAUUUCAUCUCUGCUUUGGAUUCCCAAUUGUGUUUCAUCGAUCCAUCGGUGUUAUGGGUUUUUGAUUAUUUUACUGUUGUAAUUGUUGUGGCGGAACGAAGGGGAAUACCAGCGACAUCUUUCGUCAAAGAUGUUCAAGCUUAUUUUAAUCAAUUAGGGCUCGAUGUUAACUCUACACUCGCGUUUCUUCAAGAAAGUUUGAAGAAGUAUUCUGGAACAAUAGCACCUCCGAUACUAUUGUUAGCUUUACCAGCGGAAACCGGUGUUCUCGGUAUUCAGUCGCAGUGUUCAGGUUGAGUUCUCAGUUUCAGUCGCCAUACCGUUUGCAUUCGAUGUCGUUGUUCAGUUUUAUGUUCUUCAGGUGGUGGCGUUAGGUUUUGGCGGUGGUGUUAGGUUUUGUUGGUUCUAAUGGGACAGACAGAGAGGCUGCAAGAGUGUGGUGGAUAACAGAGAUGAUUUUCUGCCAGCCCUUCGAGAAAUAGUUUGUCUCCCGUCCGUCUACCCAAUCUGAAUAACUGCUCCGAGCCUCCUAUGACCUCUGUCAAGGUAAUGUUUAAUUUCUUGAUUUUUUGAUGAAACAGCGAGAUCUCAACGCCGACAACUGUCGAUUCUUCAUAUCGGCAAAUAUGAACGAGAAGGCUGACGUCUCCAAGGAGCUCAAUGCGAGGCACAGGAAGGACUAAUGAGUGAGGCACAGAAAGGUGUAAUUUUUCAUCUCUCACAUGUAACGGACAACCUCCAUUAAGUUUUGACAGGAAUGGCAUAGAUGUUUGCACUCAAGGUGUUCGAUGAUUUGUCUUUGUCUGUGAUGGCUAUGAAAGGAGGGUCAAAAAUGUUUUGUCUUCUUUAGCAGGCCAUCAACGGAUUUAUAUAUAGAACGUUGAGUUCAUGCUGUCAUUGAUAAAUUUGCAGACCGGAUGUAAAGGUGACUUGGUAUAGGAAGUUCCACAAGGGCCUAAAGAGAGUCCUAGGGGCCUAAAGAGAGUCCUGAAGGACCGUGACAGUUCGUUGGGCUAAUGCCACACUUUGUUCCUCCACGUCAUGAUAGGUUUAACAUGAUUCAAAGGGCUUUGAAUCUUGGAGUUAAUGUUAAAAUGAUUACAGUUUUGAACGGGUAUUUUUUAGCACCUAUCUCAUUCCCGGCUCUAAUCCAAUCUAUAAUACCUUUACGGCAUACGCACUUGUCUUUUCACAUUCAAAAAACCCUUAAUCGUAAUUUGAAGGAAGAAAGCAACAGAACCGGAUGGCGGUGGAAGGUGGUUCGGCAGGGCUAGGGAGACGACGUAUUGGAGGUCGUUGGGACCAAAUUAAGCACGUGUCACAUCCUGGUAGCUUUCUUCACACCAAAACCACAGAGAACACCCAACAACCGUUCCACUGCCUCGAAAAACCUCUCCCCAGAGGCUAAGUGUUGCUGUUGCCGACCACGAUCAUCGCAGGUGUGCUCCGGCAAUUAGGGUUUCAGCUGUGAUGGCUGGGAUUCUGGUGACCCUAGAUGGUGCAGUGGCAGUGGCGGUGGCGUAGACAUGGUGGCAUGGCUGCUGGCGUGGCUGUGGCUUCUCUGGUUUCAGUUUUGACUUUCGUAGGUUGCAGGGUGCUUGGAACACUUAUAAGAGAUCUACACAAUCAAAAAAUCUUGGUAACAACUUGAAGCUUGCAAAGGUGGAUGCAUCUAAACACACGUAGCAACACAAAAAGAAAAAAGUGACAUGGCAGUGGGGAAGCAUAAGCUGUCCAACUCGCUGUAGAUAAUGUAGGACCCGAAUGACCGGUGUUGCCAGCUAGGAUGAUUGAACCAAUUGCAGGGAAACUGUAGUUAUUGGAUCAUCAGGCUACUUCGAAGCUCAAGGGAUUUUCUCUAUUUUCUACAUAGUGUAUACGAAACAGAAAUAUAUCAGGUUUGGUAGAUGGAUACUGAAGGUAGCAGUUGUUAAUGCUCCAGCCUUUGGUGACAUUGCUAUAUUGACCGGAGCUUAUGUAGCCUAAACCGUUAAAGGAAUACAGAAAAUAAAGAAUCACAAUUUCAGAACAAAGUCGAUGUGGUGGCGGAGACACCAAAACAAAGCCGAUGGAAAAAGGGAAAGCUUAUAGGUCGUCGAACUUUUGGAAGCAUUUAUGUUGGAUCUGGAUCUAACAAAGAAACCACAGCUUUAUGUGCACUGAAAGAAUUUGAAUGGUGCCGAGCCCCGGCGUCGGACAUUAAAAGAUCAGAGCUGCAGCAAAUGGUGGCGGUUUUGGAUUCUGUAGUUAUAAGCGAAACGGUGGAUCGAUGGACUUAGGGUCUGGAUGGGCCAGGAUGCUUUACGGUUAAGAGUCUCAAAAAUGUCUUGAAAGAGGCACGUCGGCUAGCAGUAGUAUGCAAGUUUUGGUGGAAUAGUUGGGCCUCUAAGAAGGUGGGUUUGGUGGCUUGGAGGGCAGUAAUGGAAAAGCUUCCGACUUUCGUUUCGCUGCAGUGACGAAACAUCAAUGUCCCCCCUUUUAUGGUGUGUGUUCUAUGGUGAUCUCAAUGAAAUGAGUACAUCUUACUGUCAUGCGCCUUUGCACAAACGAUCUGCCAAGUUAUUGCCCAGUGGGGUAAGCUUCAUAUCUCUUUUACUGCAGACCUAUCCCAUUUACUUGACCUUCAUAAAUAUGUGCUGGGAUCCGCCAAGAAGAAUAAAGUUUAUAUGGGAUCUUUUUAGUUACCAUGUGGAUUUUGUGGAAGAUGCGGAACAAGGUCUUUAACCAAGGGUCGAUUUGCAUCACGAGUAUCGUGCAUGAGUUUAAGAUCAUGAGCUUUUUGUGGAUUUGACAUUGGACUUAAUUUAGUUCCCUGGGAUUAGUGGAGUAGCUUCAGGGUUGAUAGUUGUGUAUCGUUAAUUCUGCUGUUGGUUUUUUUGGUGGGGUGGGCUUUGUUGGUAUUUUUUUUUUUUAUAUUGGUGUACUUUGGCUAGCUGCUUGCUGAUUUUUGUUUAAUAAUAUUCUUUGUUUGUUGGGCUUUUCAAAA